AACUUGAUAUAAGUUUUUGUAAUAGGCUUCAAUUACUACCAGACCUCCCCACAAGUUUAACAAACCUAAGGAUAAAGUCUCCAUCGUUGCUGGCAGUACCCGACCUCUCGAACCUCACUAGUUUAAAUAAUCUAAUGAUAAGUGAUUGCAUUUAUACUUGUGUGAGAAACCAACCGUUGCCAUUUGUACCAGGACGAAUUCGACGUCCGAACCUAAGUUAUCUCGGAGGGCUUCAUAAAUUGCAGUGGUUGUACGUGGAUUUUUGCGAUACUACCAUGCGUCCAACUGACUUGAGAUCCCUUUCUCAGCUCUGGAAGUUAGAAAUAACUUGUGCCGACCUACGGCUUCUAACUGGGUUUCCGUCCAGUUUGAAAUCGUUGAACUUACAAGGUGUGAAGGCCCCAAUAGAAUGGUCAAUAUUCUCCAACCUGGACAAUUUGUGUCAGGUACUGCAAGUGUUGGAAUGGGAGGGGCUUCUGAGGAUAUCCAAUGUUUCGAGCUUAAAGGAGCAUCAAAAUUUGUUUGUGACGAGAUGCCCAGAAUUAAUUGAGAUCGAACUUGAACGGUUUUCAACUGGAGAUUGCAGUUCCAAAGAAAGGCUCCUCCCUGAUGCUUUGAAGCUGGAGAAGUUAUGUUCGUUGAAGGUCCGUGAUUGUGCAUCAUUGCAAAAGAUACCAAACACAUGUCAUACGACUGUUCGGAAUUGCCCGAGAGUUGGUCCAUAUGAAAAGUCAAGAGCAGCAAAAAGAGAGGGAGGAAGCUAGUCGGCAAAGCAAAGAGGAAACAGAAGAAAGAGUGUGGAAUCCGACUGGCGAACCACCGCGCCGCGCCUCUGGCUCCGGUUCCGGCCCCCACUCGUCCAUCCCUUACUUUUUCUCUCUCCUCGCGUCUCUGUCUGCCCUCCCUCUCUUCGAUAGCGAACCACCGCGCCCCCUCCGGCUCCAGAUCCGGCACCGGCUUGUCCAGGAUGUGGCGGUGAAGGUAUUCUCGAUGCAAGAAUAUUCAGAAGAAUUGAUAAGCUCCUUUAGACAAGAGG